rfam:Schistosoma mansoni strain Puerto Rico chromosome 1, complete genome
AUCAAUUGAUCAGUCCUAAACAUCCAUGGGAAGAUUUAAGUAAACAAUACCAAAUAGGACGAAACGCGCGUCCUGGAU